UACGUAGGUGGCAAGCGUUAUCCGGAUUUAUUGGGCGUAAAGGGCGUGCAGCCGGAGAGACAAGUCAGAUGUGAAAUCCACGGGCUCAACCCGUGAACUGCAUUUGAAACUGUUUCCCUUGAGUGUCGGAGAGGUAAUCGGAAUUCCUUGUGUAGCGGUGAAAUGCGUAGAUAUAAGGAAGAACACCAGUGGCGAAGGCGGAUUACUGGACGAUAACUGACGGUGAGGCGCGAAAGCGUGGGGAGCAAACAGG
rnacentral:rRNA from 1 species